rnacentral:rRNA from 1 species
UACGAGGGGGGCGAGCGUUGUUCGGAAUUAUUGGGCGUAAAGGGUGCGUAGGCGGUUCCGCAAGUCCUGUGUGAAAUCUUCGGGCUCAACUCGAAGUCUGCACGGGAAACUGCGGGGCUUGAGUGUGGGAGAGGUGAGUGGAAUUCCCAGUGUAGAGGUGAAAUUCGUAGAUAUUGGGAAGAACACCGGUGGCGAAGGCGGCUCACUGGCUCGUAUCUGACGCUCAGGCGCGAUAGCGUGGGGAUCAAACAGG